rnacentral:rRNA from 1 species
GGUAUCCUGUCUGAAUAUGGGGGGACCAUCCUCCAAGGCUAAAUACUCCUGACUGACCGAUAGUGAACCAGUACCGUGAGGGAAAGGCGAAAAGAACCCCGGCGAGGGGAGUGAAAAAGAACCUGAAACCGUGUACGUACAAGCAGUGGGAGCCCCACCACCAAAGCAUUUGCUGUACCGCGUUGACGGAGCGAAGCGACGUCAAACCGAUAAAACAGCAGUGUAAAGUGAGCCGCAGGGCGCUUUGCGCGACAGCGCAAAGGCAGGCGGUUUCGCGUAGCGAAAGCGAAUGCUUUGGGGUGGGGUGACUGCGUACCUUUUGUAUAAUGGGUCAGCGACUUAUAUUCUGUAGCAAGGUUAACCGAAUAGGGGAGCCGGAGGGAAACCGAGUCUUAAUUGGGCGUUAAGUUGCAGGGUAUAGACCCGAAACCCGGUGAUCUAGCCAUGGGCAGGUUGAAGGUUGGGUAACACUAACUGGAGGACCGAACCGACUAAUGUUGAAAAAUUAGCGGAUGACCUGUGGCUGGGGGUGAAAGGCCAAUCAAACCGGGAGAUAGCUGGUUCUCCCCGAAAGCUAUUUAGGUAGCGCCUCGUGAAUUCAUCUCCGGGGGUAGAGCACUGUUUCGGCUAGGGGGCCAUCCCGGCUUACCAACCCGAUGCAAACUGCGAAUACCGGAGAAUGUUAUCACGGGAGACACACGGCGGGUGCUAACGUCCGUCGUGAAGAGGGAAACAACCCAGACCGCCAGCUAAGGUCCCAAAGUCAUGGUUAAGUGGGAAACGAUGUGGGAAGGCCCAGACAGCCAGGAUGUUGGCUUAGAAGCAGCCAUCAUUUAAAGAAAGCGUAAUAGCUCACUGGUCGAGUCGGCCUGCGCGGAAGAUGUAACGGGGCUAAACCAUGCACCGAAGCUGCGGCAGCGACACUGUGUGUUGUUGGGUAGGGGAGCGUUCUGUAAGCCUGUGAAGGUGUGUCGUGAGGCAUGCUGGAGGUAUCA